UACGAACUGUGCGAACGUUAUUCGGAAUCACUGGGCUUACAGGGUGCGUAGGCGGCUAUUCAGGUCAGGUGUGAAAGCCCCCCGGCUCAACCGGGGAACUGCGCUUGAAACCGAGUGGCUCGAGUCAGCUAGAGGUACACGGAACUUCCAGUGGAGCGGUGAAAUGUGUUGAUAUUGGAAGGAACACCGGAGGCGAAAGCGGUGUACUGGGGCUGGUCUGACGCUGAGGCACGAAAGCCAGGGGAGCGAACGGG
rnacentral:rRNA from 1 species